rnacentral:rRNA from 1 species
AGUGAACGCUGGCGGUAGGCCUAACACAUGCAAGUCGAACGGCAGCACAGUAAGAGCUUGCUCUUACGGGUGGCGAGUGGCGGACGGGUGAGGAAUACAUCGGAAUCUACUUUUUCGUGGGGGAUAACGUAGGGAAACUUACGCUAAUACCGCAUACGACCUACGGGUGAAAGCAGGGGAUCUUCGGACCUUGCGCGAUUGAAUGAGCCGAUGUCGGAUUAGCUAGUUGGCGGGGUAAAGGCCCACCAAGGCGACGAUCCGUAGCUGGUCUGAGAGGAUGAUAGGCCACACUGGAACUGAGACACGGUCCAGACUACUACGGGAGGCAGCAGUGGGGAAUAUUGGACAAUAGGCGCAAGCCUGAUCCAGCCAUACCGAGUGGGUGAAGAAGGCCUUCGGGUUGUAAAGCCCUUUUGUUGGGAAAGAAAAGCAGCAGGUUAAUACCCCGCUGUUCUGACGGUAACCAAAGAAUAAGCACCGGCUAACUUCGUG